UACGGAGGGGCUAGCGUUGUUCGGAAUUACUGGGCGUAAAGCGUGCGCAGGCGGCUUCUCAAGUCAGGGGUGAAAUCCUGGAGCUCAACUCCAGAACUGCCUUCGAAACUGGCGAUCUUGAGUCCGGGAGAGGUGAGUGGAACUGCGAGUGUAGAGGUGAAAUUCGUAGAUAUUCGCAAGAACACCAGUGGCGAAGGCGGCUCACUGGCCCGGUACUGACGCUGAGGUGCGAAAGCGUGGGGAGCGAACGAG
rnacentral:rRNA from 1 species